UUCGCAAUGCCCGAAAGGGUGACGAAGCGACGCCGCGUGGGUGAGGAAGGCCUUCGGGUUGUAAAGCCCUGUCAGGAGUUAAGAAAUGUAAGUGUGCUAAUAUCACAUUUACUUGACGAAGGCUCCAAAGGAAGUCACGGCUAACUCUGUGCCAGCAGCCGCGGUAAUACAGAGGUGGCAAGCGUUGUUCGGAAUUAUUGGGCGUAAAGAGCACGUAGGUGGGUUUGUAAGUCAGAUGUGAAAGCCUCCUGUUCAACGGGAGAAUUGCAUCUGAAACUACUGAUCUUGAGUAUAGGAGGGGAGAAUGGAACUUCUGGUGGAGCGGUGAAAUGCGUAGAUAUCAGAAGGAACGCCGGCGGCGAAAGCGAUUCUCUGGCCUAUUACUGACACUCAGUGUGCGAAAGCUAGGGGAGCAAACGGGAUUAGAUACCCCGGUAGUCCUAGCCGUAAACGAUGGGCACUAAGUAGAGGGGUUUU
rnacentral:rRNA from 1 species